rnacentral:rRNA from 1 species
UAUUAUUUAAAAUGUAAAUAUUAAUACUUAAGUAGUAGUAGUUAUGUUCUUGAAACUUAAAAAAUUUGGCGGUAUUUUAGUCUAUCCAGAGGAACCUGUUUUGUAAUCGAUAUUCCACGAUGGACCUUACUUAAAUUUGUUAAUCAGUUUAUAUACCGUCGUUAUCAGAAUAUUUUAUAAGAAUAAUAAUAUUCAAUAAUUUUUAUUAAAAUUUAUAUCAGAUCAAGGUGUAGCUUAUAUUUAAGUAAUAAUGGGUUACAAUAAAUUUAUUUAAAUGAAUAAAAUUAUGAAAAAGUUUUUGAAGGUGGAUUUGGUAGUAAAAUUAUAUAGAUUAAUAAUUUGAUUUUAGCUCUAAAAUAUGUACAUAUCGCCCGUCGCUCUUAUUAUUAAGGUAAGAUAAGUCGUAACAUAGUAGAUGUACUGGAAAGUGUAUCUAGAAUGA